GCGUGCGUGGGCAUUGGGAAUAUAAGCCGUUGUUUUGAGUUUCAGCCAUGUUAGACCGCCACCACCAUAAUAUUCAGCAAUUCAUGCCUGUGCAGGAACCUAUCAAUUACAUCUGUUGUCUUCUUCUAGUCACGUGACAGAUACUUACUGAGAAGCCAGUGGAGUCCUCACAACAGAUCAGUUUAGCAUCAGAGCCCCCGCAAUGAGCCCCGUUUUCUGGUUGAGGAAACUGCGCUUGAGAGAGGCCCAAGGUCACCCAUCUGACAUAUAUAUUUUGAAUCCAGGUCAUGAGGAAAUAGAUCCUGAAGGCAAUGAGUGAAAAGUAGAACCCUGUCUCUGAGGCCUGUGCUGUGUGAUUGCAAAGCUGUGUUCUCAUCAUGAGGUGUGUGCUUUUAGCAUUCACCCCACACACAUGAAAGCUCUUGUUGAUGGAAACCAAGAGGUGAACAGAUCUUCUAUUUACUUUUUGACAAAUACGUGAAAGAAUGAAGAGUGAUGCUGUUGACCCCAGGCUGCCUGGUUUGAAUGUGGGCUCCACCCUCACCAGCUGACAGACCUUGGACAAGUUUCCUCCACUGUAAAAACACAUCCUCUCUUUUACAGUCUUCUUGGGAGGAUUGCAUGCGUUGAUGUAGAACUGUGCCUGACACAUGGUGCCUUGGAAGCCUGUUCACAUGAAGUGGGAAUAUAACGUGCACCCACCACAUUGGUCAUCUGUGAUUUCCUCAAGCGCGGGCCCUCCUUUGAAGGAGGAGAAGCAAUGUGAUUCAUGCCUGUGUGGUACCUUUGAAUCAGCACUGGGAUGCUAGUGCCUCUGUUCUCAGUAUCACCUCUAGGUGCAUGUCCUUGGGAAGAAAAUUCCCUGACAACUAAAACUAACAACUCAUUCCUCUGCUACACACAGUCCUGAUUGACAGAGGCUGGGCAAGUAGAUUUCUGAAUUCAAUUUUGCCUGAAGGAGCAAAUACAUCUUUAUUCCUAGGCAUAAAAAUCAAACAUCUGGAGCAGAGGCUGUCAACUCUGGCUGCACAUUGGAACCACUCAGGGAAUUUUUGAAAAUUCAGCCACAUCCCAGGCCAAUUAAAUCAGAUUCUCUGGGUGUGAAGUUUGGGCUCUGGCAUUUUUUAAAAGGUCCCUUGUC